rnacentral:rRNA from 1 species
GUAGUCCACGCCGUAAACCAUGGAUGCUCGGUGGUGCGCCGCUCUAGGCGCGCUGCCUAAGCUAACGCGUUAAGCAUCCCACCUGGGGAGUACGCUCGCAAGGGUGAAACUCAAAGGAAUUGACGGGGGCCCGCACAAGCGGUGGAGCAUGUGGAUUAAUUCGAUGCAACGCGAAGAACCUUACCCAGGCUCGAACAUCAGAUGACCGGCUCUGAAAGGAGCCUUCCUUCGGGCAUCUGGUGAGGUGCUGCAUGGCUGUCGUCAGUUCGUGUCGUGAGAUGUUGGGUUAAGUCCCGCAACGAACGCAACCCCUAUCGCUAGUUACCAGCGGGUUAUGCCGGGGACUCUAGCGAGACUGCCUGCGCAAGCAGUGA